rnacentral:lncRNA from 1 species
AUGAUCCAAACAAAACACAGGGAAUACUACGGUCAGCAAAAUUGUCGCGGCGGGAUCUACGCAAGACCCGCUCCGGUCAUCUGUGUGUCUGCGCAUGCGUGUGGUGGUCACGGUUGCCUAGCGACAGACACCACACACCGACGCUGCUCACAAAAACCGCGCCUUUUAAAAAUGUCCACUACACCCGAUACUUCACCACGUCCUCAAAAGCGUAAACGCUUGCAGAAGUACGGACGUGAGUGGGAAGACGCACAUCCUAGGCUGGACAGCGUCAGUGGAGAUGUUUACAAGGCAAGUUGUAAAAUAUGUCGGCGAGUGUUUUCAGUGGCGCACGGUGGGCUGUCUGACAUCAGACAGCAUGCAACAGGAGAGCAACACUGCAGACACGAAAGAUCACAGAAGACCCAAGCGUCAGUGUCACAGUUCUUCUACAUUCUACUUGCUGUAGUUUGGUCUGGCUUUGCGAGACUACAGUUCUUCAUACCCCAAUCAUCUCCUGAGGUUGAUACGCCUCCACCGGGAAAGUUCUCCUGCGACAGUAUUGGAUACGAACGGCUAAUGCAAGGUAAAUCUAAAACCCUAGGUACCUCUCAUUCUUAGUUUUAAGUUGACUUUUAUACUGAUAUGAAAAUCUAGUUCAGAUGAGGUUUGAUUUAUUUCUGCCUGUUUUUUCCAGAUUCAAAAAAGAUGAAAUGGUCUAGUAAAACAUGUCGAUUUGAGGGUGACACACGGACAGAACUGUUGAAACACUACAGACUAAGACAUGGAAUUGUUAGCCGUGGCCAGACAGUGCCUUGCCUUUAUAAGGAUUGCCCUUGUUCAUUUAAGACGUUCAAUGCCCUUAAUAUUCAUUUAUCCAGGCAGCACCCUGAGGCAGUGACAUCAAAAGAUAUUCUAUCCUUUAGUUGUGUCCUGUGCAGUUCCAGUUGUUUUGAUUCAGAAAGGCAAUAUUUUGAACAUCUUGGAAGCCAUUUGAGGAGAUUUGAAGUAGUUGCAUGUGUAUUUAAAAACUGCACCUUCAGCUGAAACAUAUAUUCAAGCUUCGCCUCGCACAGACACAGGAAACAUUCUUCACAUGGACUUGAAGACUUUAAAGAUGAAGUAUUGAAAAAAUACUUGGUUCCAGUUGUUGACACUGAAGAGGAGGAUCCUCAACCUUUGAUUGAGGAGGAUCCUCAACCUUUGUUUGAGGAAGACAAGGAUCUAUCUCGGAUCAUAAAAGAGAAGUUUGGCAGCCUUUUUCUUAGGUUAGAGAGCACCUUUAAUGUGUCAAACAAGUGCAUUGAUGAAAUCGUUAAUGAGCUUCAAUUCAUAUCAUGCACAGCAUCAGUUCCUGUUAUAAGAGAGUUGAUUGAGUCUACUCUAAGGAUCCAUAGCUGUGAGUUGGACACAGCUGUAAUCUCUGAUUUGGUUAAAAUUCUCAGCGAGGCACACCCAAUAAGCUCAGCUUUGGCAAGCGAUGGUCCCUUCUCAACAU